rnacentral:rRNA from 1 species
GAUGAACGCUAGCGGGAGGCCUAACACAUGCAAGCCGAGCGGUAUUUCUUCUUCGGUAGAGAGAGAGCGGCGCACGGGUGCGUAACACGUGUGCAACCUACCUUUAUCUGGGGGAUAGCCUUUCGAAAGGAAGAUUAACACCCCAUAAUAUAUUGAAUGGCAUCAUUUGAUAUUGAAAACUCCGGUGGAUAAAGAUGGGCACGCGCAAGAUUAGAUAGUUGGUGAGGUAACGGCGCACCAAGUCAAUGAUCUUUAGGGGUCCUGAGAGGGAGAUCCCCCACACGGGUACUGAGACACGGACCAGACUCCUACGGGAGGCAGCAGUGAGGAAUAUUGGACAAUGGGUGAAAGCCUGAUCCAGCCAUCCCGCGUGAAGGAUGACGGUCCUAUGGAUUGUAAACUUCUUUUGUACAGGAAUAAACCUACUCUCGUGAGAGUAGCUGAAGGUACUGUACGAAUAAGCACCGGCUAACUCCGUGCCAGCCGCCGCCGUAA